rnacentral:tRNA from 1 species
GGGCGAUUACCUCAGCUGGGAGAGCACCUCCCUUACAAGGAGGGGGUCGGCGGUUCGAUCCCGUCAUCACCCACCA